CUUGGUCAUUUAGAGGAAGUAAAAGUCGUAACAAGGUUUCCGUAGGUGAACCUGCGGAAGGAUCAUUAUUGAAUGAAUUUAGGAGUUGGUUUGAUGCUGGCCGACAACCCCAAGGGCAUGUGCACGCCUUCUCCUUCAUCCACACACACCUGUGCACUUGUGAGACGCGAGGAUUAAUUUCCUCCGUCUACUAAUCACACAAACUCAUUGUAAUUGAACUGAAUGUAAUUGAUGUAACACAUCAUUUGAACUAAGUUUCAACAACGGAUCUCUUGGCUCUCGCAUCGAUGAAGAACGCAGCGAAAUGCGAUAAGUAAUGUGAAUUGCAGAAUUCAGUGAAUCAUCGAAUCUUUGAACGCAUCUUGCGCUCCUUGGUAUUCCUUGGAGCAUGCCUGUUUGAGUAUCAUGAGCAAAUCUCAAAGUCAAUUCCUUAAUUGGUUUUGCUUUGGACUUGGAGGUCUUGCAGAUUUCACAGUCUGCUCCUCUUAAAUGCAUUAGCUGGAUCUCAGUAAUUAUGCUUGGUUCCACUCGGCGUGAUAAGUAUCACUCGCUGAGGACACUGUUAAAAAGGUGGCCAGGAAAAUACUGAUUGAACCGCUUCUAACGGUCUAUUAAGUUAGACAAUUACCCUUAAGUUUGAUCUCAAAUCAGGUAGGACUACCCGCUGAACUUAAGCAUAUCAAUAAGCGGAGGAAAAGAAACUAACAAGGAUUCCCCUAGUAACGGCGAGUGAAGCGGGAAGAGCUCAAAUUUAAAAUCUGACGGUGUAUUCCGUCCGAGUUGUAGCCUAGAGAAGCAUCAUCCGCGCUGGACCGUGUACAAGUCUCCUG
rnacentral:rRNA from 1 species